rnacentral:rRNA from 1 species
AGCGAACGCUGGCGGCAGGCCUAACACAUGCAAGUCGAACGGACCCUUCGGGGUUAGUGGCGGACGGGUGAGUAACACGUGGGAACGUGCCUUUAGGCUCGGAAUAGCUCCUGGAAACGGGUGGUAAUGCCGAAUGUGCCCUUAGGGGGAAAGAUUUAUCGCCUUUAGAGCGGCCCGCGUCUGAUUAGCUAGUUGGUGAGGUAAUGGCUCACCAAGGCUACGAUCAGUAGCUGGUCUGAGAGGAUGGCCAGCCACAUUGGGACUGAGACACGGCCCAAACUCCUACGGGAGGCAGCAGUGGGGAAUCUUGGACAAUGGGGGAAACCCUGAUCCAGCCAUGCCGCGUGAGUGAUGAAGGCCCUAGGGUUGUAAAACUCUUUCGGCGGGGACGAUAAUGACGGUACCCGCAGAAGAAGCUCCGGCUAACUUCGUGCCAGCCGCCGCGGUAA